UGCGUAGGCGGUCCCUUAAGUUUGGUGUGAAAUCUCCCGGCUUAACUGGGAGGGUGCGCCGGAUACUGAGGGACUUGGAGUGCGGGAAAGGAAAGUGGAAUUCCUGGUGUAGCGGUGAAAUGCGUAGAUAUCAGGAGGAACACCGGCGGUGUAAACGGCUUUCUGGACCGUAACUGACGCUGAGGCACGAAAGCGUGGGGAGCAAACAGGAUUAGAUACCCUGGUAGUCCACGCCCUAAACGAUGCACGUUUGGUGUGGGUGAUUCAGUUCAUCCGUGCCGGAGCUAACGCGUUAAACGUGCCGCCUGGGGAGUACAGUCGCAAGGCCGAA
rnacentral:rRNA from 1 species